GUGGUCUUGGAGCACGGGGAGGGGGGCCUAGCCAGCUUCCUCCCUCCCAGGCCUGGACCAGCUGGGAGUGACACCAGACGGGAGAAUGAUCAGACCCCGACCCUGCACUGAUCUUUACGGAUGCUCCUCUGGCUUCAGUGUAUCAGGAGGAGGCUGCUAAGGGGAGAGGGCUAGAGGAUGUAACUAGUUGCCAAAAACCAGACUCGGGGGGAUGGCGGGGGGGCUGGGAAUGGGAUCUGGAGCCCAGCCCUCCUGGGCGCUGACUCCAGUCUGGGGGCACCAUCUGACUCUGAAGUGGGUCUUGGACACGGGAUAUGAAGCCUUUCACCACUAGGGCCUCCAGGCCAUGCCCAGGCUGACAUGACAGCCGCGCUGGGGCAGACUUGCCGCAUUCCCUGGCGGGCUGGUAUCCCCACAGCACACAGCUGGGUCACCUUCGGAGAUGAUGUUUUGGGCUCUUGAAACCUCCCGUGAGGCAGAGUUUCUCCCAGCUGAUCCCUGUGGCAGGCAGCAGCUCUGGGAAGCCCUCGGUCUGCGGGGUUGUAGUCUAGCUGGAGGCCUGCGUGGGUCUUGGCUCUGGACUCUCGAGUUCAGUGGACACGGCCAGAGAUCGGAGGAGCGUCAUGUAGGGA